rnacentral:rRNA from 1 species
GACCAUCUAGCGACCUCCACGGUGGAUGCCUUGGCACUAGAAGCCGAUGAAGGACGUUACUAACGACGAUAUGCUUUGGGUAGCUGUAAGUAAGCGUUGAUCCAGAGAUUUCCGAAUGGGGGAACCCAGCANNAGUUAUGUNNUGUUAUCGACANGUGAAUUCAUAGCNUGUCAGAAGGCAGACCCGGAGAACUGAAACAUCUUAGUACCCGGAGGAAGAGAAAGAAAAAUCGAUUCCCUGAGUAGCGGCGAGCGAAACGGGAAGAGCCCAAACCAACAAGCUUGCUUGUUGGGGUUGUAGGACACUCUAUACGGAGUUACAAAAGAACAUGUUAGACGAAUCAUCUGGAAAGAUGAAUCAAAGAAGGUAAUAAUCCUGUAGUCGAAAACAUAUUCUCUCUUGAGUGGAUCCUGAGUACGACGGAGCACGUGAAAUUCCGUCGGAAUCUGGGAGGACCAUCUCCUAAGGCUAAAUACUCUCUAGUGACCGAUAGUGAACCAGUACCGUGAGGGAAAGGUGAAAAGUACCCCGGAAGGGGAGUGAAAGAGAACUUGAAACCGUGUGCUUACAAGUAGUCAGAGCCCGUUAAUGGGUGAUGGCGUGCCUUUUGUAGAAUGAACCGGCGAGUUACGAUCUGAUGCAAGGUUAAGCAGCAAAUGUGGAGCCGCAGCGAAAGCGAGUCUGAAUAGGGCGUUGAGUAUUUGGUCGUAGACCCGAAACCAGGUGAUCUACCCUUGGUCAGGUUGAAGUUCAGGUAACACUGAAUGGAGGACCGAACCGACUUACGUUGAAAAGUGAGCGGAUGAACUGAGGGUAGCGGAGAAAUUCCAAUCGAACUUGGAGAUAGCUGGUUCUCUCCGAAAUAGCUUUAGGGCUAGCCUCAAGUGAUGAUUAUUGGAGGUAGAGCACUGUUUGGACGAGGGGCCCCUCUCGGGUUACCGAAUUCAGACAAACUCCGAAUGCCACAGAUGUUAAUCCGGGAGUCAGAACAUGGGUGAUAAGGUCCGUGUUCGAAAGGGAAACAGCCCAGACCACCAGCUAAGGUCCCAAAAUAUAUGUUAAGUGGAAAAGGAUGUGGCGUUGCCCAGACAACUAGGAUGUUGGCUUAGAAGCAGCCAUCAUUUAAAGAGUGCGUAAUAGCUCACUAGUCGAGUGACACUGCGCCGAAAAUGUACCGGGGCUAAACAUAUUACCGAAGCUGUGGAUUGUCCUUUGGACAAUGGUAGGAGAGCGUUCUAAGGGCGUUGAAGCAUGAUCGCAAGGACAUGUGGAGCGCUUAGAAGUGAGAAUGCCGGUGUGAGUAGCGAAAGACGGGUGAGAAUCCCGUCCACCGAUUGACUAAGGUUUCCAGAGGAAGGCUCGUCCGCUCUGGGUUAGUCGGGUCCUAAGCUGAGGCCGACAGGCGUAGGCGAUGGAUAACAGGUUGAUAUUCCUGUACCACCUAGUAUCGUUUUAAUCGAUGGGGGGNNGCAGUAGGAUAGGCGAAGCGUGCUGUUGGAGUGCACGUCCAAGCAGUAAGGCUGAGUGUUAGGCAAAUCCGGCACUCAUAAGGCUGAGCUGUGAUGGGGAGAGGAAAUUGUUUCCUCGAGUCGUUGAUUUCACACUGCCGAGAAAAGCCUCUAGCGAGUAGAUAACAGGUGCCCGUACCGCAAACCGACACAGGUAGUCAAGAUGAGAAUUCUAAGGUGAGCGAGCGAACUCUCGUUAAGGAACUCGGCAAAAUGACCCCGUAACUUCGGGAGAAGGGGUGCUCUUUAGGGUUCACGCCCAGAAGAGNCGCAGNGNANAGNNNNAAGCGACUGUUUAUNAAAAACACAGGUCNNUGCNAAANCGUGGAAGNUGANGUAUANGGGCUGACGCCUGCCCGGUGCUGGAAGGUUAAGAGGAGUGGUUAGCUUCUGCGAAGCUACGAAUNGAAGCCCCAGUAAACGGCGGCCGUAACUAUAACGGUCCUAAGGUAGCGAAAUUCCUUGUCGGGUAAGUUCCGACCNGCACGAAAGGUGUAACGAUUUGGGCACUGUCUCAACGAGAGACUCGGUGAAAUCAUAGUACCUGUGAAGAUGCAGGUUACCCGCGACAGGACGGAAAGACCCCGUGGAGCUUUACUGUAGCCUGAUAUUGAAAUUCGGCACAGCUUGUACAGGAUAGGUAGGAGCCUUUGAAACGUGAGCGCUAGCUUACGUGGAGGCGUUGGUGGGAUACUACCCUAGCUGUGUUGGCUUUCUAACCCGCACCACUUAUCGUGGUGGGAGACAGUGUCAGGCGGGCAGUUUGACUGGGGCGGUCGCCUCCUAAAAGGUAACGGAGGCGCUCAAAGGUUCCCUCAGAAUGGUUGGAAAUCAUUCAUAGAGUGUAAAGGCAUAAGGGAGCUUGACUGCGAGACUUACAAGUCGAGCAGGGUCGAAAGACGGACUUAGUGAUCCGGUGGCUUGCGGAUGCGCCGUCACUCAACGG